ACCUGGCUGGCUCAGUUGCAAGAGCGUGUGACUCUUGAUCUUAGGGUUGUGAGUUUGAGCCCUAUGUUGGGUA
rnacentral:tRNA from 1 species